rnacentral:rRNA from 1 species
AGAGUUUGAUUAUGGCUCAGGAUGAACGCUAGCGGCAGGCUUAACACAUGCAAGUCGAGGGGCAGCGGGAUGUAGCAAUACAUUGCCGGCGACCGGCGGAUGGGUGCGUAACGCGUAUGCAACCUACCUUAUACAGGGGAAUAACCUUUCGAAAGGGAGACUAACACCCCAUAGUAUUGAUUUAAGGCAUCUUAGAUUAAUUAAAUAUUUAUAGGUAUAAGAUGGGCAUGCGUAUGAUUAGCUAGUUGGUAAGGUAACGGCUUACCAAGGCGACGAUCAUUAGGGGUUCUGAGAGGAAGGUCCCCCACACUGGUACUGAGACACGGACCAGACUCCUACGGGAGGCAGCAGUGAGGAAUAUUGGUCAAUGGGCGCAAGCCUGAACCAGCCAUGCCGCGUGCAGGAAAGACGGCCUUAUGGGUUGUAAACUGCUUUUACAUAAGACUAACCGUAUAUUUGCGAAUAUACCUGAAUGUAUUAUGAGAAUAAGGAUCGGCUAGCUCCGUGCCAGCCGCCGC